CGAACGGUAACAGGAAGAAGCUUGCUUCUUUGCUGACGAGUGGCGGACGGGUGAGUAAUGUCUGGGAAACUGCCUGAUGGAGGGGGAUAACUACUGGAAACGGUAGCUAAUACCGCAUAACGUCGCAAGACCAAAGAGGGGGCCUUCGGGCCUCUUGCCAUCGGAUGUGCCCAGAUGGGAUUAGCUAGUAUGUGGGGUAACGGCUCACCUAGGCGACGAUCCCUAGCUGGUCUGAGAGGAUGACCAGCCACACUGGAACUGAGACACGGUCCAGACUCCUACGGGAGGCAGCAGUGGGGAAUAUUGCACAAUGGGCGCAAGCCUGAUGCAGCCAUGCCGCGUGUAUGAAGAAGGCCUUCGGGUUGUAAAGUACUUUCAGCGGGGAGGAAGGGAGUACAGUUAAUACCUUUGCUCAUUGACGUUACCCGCAGAAGAAGCACCGGCUAACUCCGUGCCAGCAGCCGCGGUAAUACGGAGGGUGCAAGCGUUAAUCGGAAUUACUGGGCGUAAAGCGCACGCAGGCGGCUGCGCAAGACAGGUGUGAAAUCCCCGGGCUUAACCUGGGAACUGCAUUUGUGACUGCGCGGCUAGAGUCCGUAAGAGGGGGGUGGAAUUCCACGUGUAGCAGUGAAAUGCGUAGAGAUGUGGAGGAACACCGAUGGCGAAGGCAGCCCCCUGGGAUGAGACUGACGCUCAUGUACGAAAGCGUGGGGAGCAAACAGGAUUAGAUACCCUGGUAGUCCACGCCCUAAACGAUGUCGACUAGUUGUCGGGUCUUUACAGACUUGGUAACGCAGCUAACGCGUGAAGUCGACCGCCUGGGGAGUACGAUCGCAAGAUUAAAACUCAAAGGAAUUGACGGGGACCCGCACAAGCGGUGGAUGAUGUGGAUUAAUUCGAUGCAACGCGAAAAACCUUACCUACCCUUGACAUGCCAGGAAUCUUGGUGAGAGCCGAGAGUGCCUUCGGGAGCCUGGACACAGGUGCUGCAUG
rnacentral:rRNA from 1 species